GCUCUUGUAAGAUAAGAAAUCUAUAAUGUUUAGGACAUUAAAAUAUAAUAAUAAAAGGUCUAGAGCUA
rnacentral:tRNA from 1 species